AAGCCGGUCUCAGUUCGGAUCGGGGUCUGCAACUCGACCCCGUGAAGUCGGAGUCGCUAGUAAUCGCAGAUCAGCAACGCUGCGGUGAAUACGUUCCCGGGCCUUGUACACACCGCCCGUCGCGUCAUGAAAGUCGGUAACACCCGAAGCCAGUGGCCUAACCCUCGGGAGGGAGCUGUCGAAGGUGGGAUCGGCGAUUGGGACGAAGUCGUAACAAGGUAGCCGUACCGGAAG
rnacentral:rRNA from 1 species